CAAUAGUUUACAGUCCAUCAUUCCAGCUUCUUAAGAGUCCCUGCAAAAAAUAAUCUGCAAUUCUUGGAAACUGCGUAUUGCUGUUCCCCUCCCUGCAAAAUGAAGACUUCUCUGCUAUGCCAAUCCACCCACUCUUUCAAGAGCACUCAAGGAAGACAUUCACAGAUAAUGCAAGACAAACAAAAUGACUCAUAUGAGUAGGCUUUGUUAAUUUAGUGUGUUCUUCUCCUCCAUGGCCAAAUGCCAAAAACUCUGCCAAGGAAUUAAUUCCCCUUGACAGUAAAAUCCUGUUCCUCAGACUGCAGUAUGUAUUGGUCAAUGUAGUGCAUGUAUACUUUUCUUAGAAGAUUGAAGACUUUCUCUUUGUUAUCCAUGUUUCUGCAUAUAUUAUCUCUUGUUAAAUGAAGUCUGCUUGUUUUUAAGAAUGCUGUGUGAAGUCUUUUGUUAUUUCUAGACUUCUUUGGAAUGCUUGCAGUAGGUAUAUUCCUCAAAGUUUAUCAGGUUUAUAAUUUGGUUAACAUCAGAAACAUUUCAGGAUAAAAGCAUCCAUACACAUUAGUAAAGUUUUGUGUUUUACUAGGAAACUUACAUUGUCUAGGUUGGCAGCAAUGCACAGCCUCCUGCUUUUUUGAGCUUUUGCACUUCUCUGUGUCUUGCUUCCUCAUAGUAGUUUGCGUUUAAAGGAACUUAAGGUCUUUAAAGGAACCCUAAAUAUUUUCCUUAGUGUGAAGCUAUAAUAAUUAACUGUAUUUUGACAUUUAAUCUUUUUUUGUGCUACUAAUUUUCUGAUUUUGUAGGCCUGAAGGUUCUAAGUGACGCAGUCAGAGGUGUCUUAGUGCCUGCAGGAGAUUAUUUUGUGUAAUUCUGGGGAGAGACAAGGAGAGUGUGUAUUUGAAUUCUCCUUCUAAGAGCAAUGUAAAUAAUAGUCUACCUGGAACACAUAGGUAGAAUAGCGAGUCCCAACAGCAAAAAUGUAAACAAAGAUAAAAUUAUAGCAUACUCUUUCAAUUUAUUAAAUUAUAAUUACAAA